GAUGAACGCUAGCUACAGGCUUAACACAUGCAAGUCGAGGGGUAACGGGAGGAAAGCUUGCUUUCCUUGUCGACGACCGGCGCACGGGUGAGUAACGCGUAUCCAACCUGCCCCCAACUAAGGAAUAACCUUGCGAAAGUAAGACUAAUACCUUAUAAUUUCCUCAGAUGUCAUCUGACGAGGAAUAAAGAUUUAUCGGUUGUGGAUGGGGAUGCGUCUGAUUAGCUUGUUGGCGGGGUAACGGCCCACCAAGGCAACGAUCAGUAGGGGUUCUGAGAGGAAGGUCCCCACAUUAGAACUGAGACACGGUCCAAACUCCUACGGGAGGCAGCAGUGAGGAAUAUUGGUCAAUGGGCGGAAGCCUGAACCAGCCAAGUAGCGUGCAGGAUGACGGCCCUAUGGGUUGUAAACUGCUUUUAUACAGGAAUAAAGUUAGCCACGUGUGGUUAUUUGUAGGUACUGUAUGAAUAAGGACCGGCUAAUUCCGUGCCAGCAGCCGCCGCCG
rnacentral:rRNA from 1 species